CCUACGGGCGGCAGCAGUGGGGGAUAUUGCACAAUGGGGGAAACCCUGAUGCAGCGACGCCGCGUGGGUGAAGAAGCGCCUCGGCGCGUAAAGCCCUGUCAGCAGGGAAGAAAAUGACGGUACCUGAAGAAGAAGCCCCGGAUAACUACGUGCCAGCAGCCGCGGGAAGCCGUAGGGGGCAAGCGUUAUCCGGAUGUACUGGGUGUAAAGGGGGGGGAGACGGCGAUGCAAGCCAGGAGUGAAAGCCCGGGGCCCAACCCCGGGACUGCUCUUGGAACUGCGUGGCUAGAGUGCAGGAGGGGCAGGCGGAAUUCCUGGUGUAGCGGUGAAAUGCGUAGAUAUCAGGAGGAACACCGGUGGCGAAGGCGGCCUGCUGGACUGCAACUGACGUUGAGGCCCGAAAGCGUGGGGAGCAAACAGGAUUAGAUACCCUGGUAGUC
rnacentral:rRNA from 1 species